UACGUAGGGGGCAAGCGUUGUCCGGAAUCAUUGGGCGUAAAGAGCGUGUAGGCGGCCCGAUAAGUCCGCUGUGAAAGUCCAGGGCUCAACCCUGGAAUGCCGGUGGAUACUGUCGGGCUCGAAUCCGGAAGAGGUGAGUGGAAUUCCUGGUGUAGCGGUGAAAUGCGUAGAUAUCCGGAGGAACACCGGUGGCGAAGGCGGCAUCCUGGACCGGCAUUGACGCUGAGGAGCGAAAGCUAGGGGAGCAAACGGG
rnacentral:rRNA from 1 species